AUGUCCGUUGCUGAUGAUAAACAGGAGGCAUCCAAAUCCUCGGAAGAAAAGCUAGGAGUAAAUUCUAUGCCUACAGCCAACAAGAGUCUCCCUGGACCUGUCAAACCGAAGACCACCAAAGUCAUGCCGAGUCUUAGGGAAAUCCGAAAGAUUCCCCAGAAACCAGAAACAGGAACAGGCGGCAUGUCCAUGUCAAUAGUGAAAAGACCACGUUUGUCCGUAUCUGAUAGUGAUUCUGGAGGGCCAGCUUCUUCCUCCGGCAGCGCAGAGAAGGUCUCAAAGCCACGUUUUUCUAUCGAAAAUGACCCGCUUCUUAACAUUACAUCUGAAUGUCGCGUAGAACUUGAAAUAACCAAAAUUCCUGCAAAUUGCCAACUGAAAACUGAGCCGGGCGGUAAGCCAGUGUUUGUACUCAACAGAAACUCUGCCGGUCCAUCUACUCAAGAUGUCAACAAGAAGCCCAAGACUCUGUUGAGGAACUUCAUGGCCCCAAAUCAGCCUAAUCAGGCCCCUCUAAUGAAGCGCAUGGGCAGGCCACCAAAAGACCCUAACCGAAUGAUCCAAGUGAGUCCUAUGGAUGCGUCAAUGCUGAACAGACCCAGACCCACUGUUUCCAAGAGAGGCAGGAAACGUGCAAUGACCAUUGAUAUGGCACGGCAGCCUGGGCCUCAUUCUCCAGCAAUGAAAAUGGUUAGAACAGAUCCACACCUUAAACAUCGGAUGAAUAUGGCGCAAAUGCAGAGGAUGUACCGUAAAUCAGGACCUUCCGGACCUUCGCCCAAAACAACGUCUGCGUUGGAAAUGCUCUUGAUGAAUAGAGGAGUCACACACAACCCACCAAUCAGUGAUGCCUCCGUUGCAAAUUUCUGUCAGGUUGAAGAACUGGUGACUGAGCCAGACAUGUAUUCAACACCUAUCAAUCAGCUUAAAAACCUGUCAAAAGGUCCAGCAAACUCCAUUCUGAAGCAAAUAGCCUACGGGAGCCAGCAGUUCGGUGCAAUAACAAUAUCGCCAGUCAAUCCAUCUCCUAUGCGAAUGCCUCCAACUUCCACUGCUCAAGCCACUUCCUUCAGGCCAGGCCCCAGGCCAGGUCCAAGACCAGGGCAUGUCUCCCGUUCCUCCAGUAUCGAUGACAUAAUAGACAGCGUUGCUGCAGGUGAGGGCGAAAUAAGCCCCAAGUGCCUGCUUGAGCUCAAUAGUGCUGGUGAACCGAAAAAGAAACGUGGGAGGCCACGAAAAAUCGUUCCCGGUCAACCCGCAUACUCUCAGUUCCAGUCGGAGUCUCUUCAAUGUGCACCAGACCUAUUUUUCAUGCAGCAAGGGCACCAGCCUACUGUGCGACCUACUCCACCCAAAGUAUCCACGCCUGAUGGAGUCUCGACGCCUUCACCCCUCAAGUCUGCGCCUGCCCCAUCUGCGCCUGUCACGCCUGAGUCAUUUGCUGAGUCCUUUGAUGAACCCUCAGAAAUUCUGUCUUCAGAAGUUGAGGAGGGUGGAGAGCCAAAGAAGUUGGCAAGUGGUAGAGCUGCUCGUAUGUGUACCAUCAAGGAACCAAAGAAAAAGAAAGAUGGUGCCACCCCAAAAACUGGGGAAAAAUCACCCAAGAAGAAAAAGAAAGAUGAAGAGCCAGUGGAGCCAGAUCCUGAAGAUGAAGCACGCAAGCUGCGAGAGGCCGAAGAAGAAGCAAAACGAAAGGCUGAAUUGAAGGAGAAGCGCCUUCAAGAGAGACAGAAGCGAACAGAACUGCGUACAAAACUCCUUGCUGAGAAAAAAGCUAACUGA
rnacentral:lncRNA from 1 species